CUUCAGCUUAGUAACAGCAACCACAUCACACAAGUUCAGAUUAUUCGUUACUUCUGGCAAUAGGCGUGAAGUGCUAAAUAGAGUUAGCAUGUGAUUAGCAAGUGGUAUAAGCUAUGCUGAUGAUUAGCGAUAAUUGUAGAGUGACACAUUAUUUGGAUAUAAACGGUAAUGGAAAUUCACGAUAGCAGACGACAUGUUCAUAAGAAGUGGUACAAACUAUUAUUAAAGGGAUCAGGCAAAAUAUCUGUGACAUAUUUGUGUUAAAUUGUUGCGUCAGUGUGAGUUAUUGUAAUGUUUGUUCAUGGUGGUGAACGUUUAAUAAAAUGAUAAAGAAUUUCUUCCAUACAUUCUCAAUGUGCAAAUUAUAAAGAACUGUUCAGGUUUUAAUCACAAAUGAAAGUUUCUUUUCCAGUUUUGUUUAUUUUGCACUUCAGCACCAAGUUUUGUUUAUUUCACUUUUGCAUGCAUAUCAAAUGAAAUGAAAAUGACCCGAGUGUGACAGGGUUUGUUGGACACUGUGUUGUGAGAUGUUCUGUUUAGGCAUUGUGUUGAGAAGUUGUAUAGAGGUGUAGUGUUGAGAUGUUGUGUAGAGACGUUGUGUUGAGGCUUUGUGUUAUGUUUUGUAGAUACAUUGUGUUGAGGUGUUGUGUUGUGGUGAUAUUUUGUGUAGAGACGUUGUGUUGAGGCGUUGUGUUGAAGUGUUGUAUUGAGGACUCAUUACACCGCUUUGGCAUCCGGGUCGAACCUGCAGCAGCUGAAACACAUGGAACAUGAUCUUUGCAGGAAGACACCAAGACAAGAAGAUUAUAAAAUAACUUAAAUAAAAAUAUUUCCACAAAUUCCCCAUCAGAUUUAUUUAGGACAUAAAUGUUAGUUUAAACUUAAGAAUGUUAUCUCUGUGGGAUUGUUUUAUAGGGGUCAUUUUUCAAGGUAAGCCUCAGUGUUUUUUUUACAUAGAGCCCCCAGGUGAAGUAGUUAAUAUUAGUUCUUAUAUUAGUUCUUACUCUUAUAUUGACCUAAAAAUGGGCAAGGAGACGAGUCCAUAUUAGUUCAUAAAAUUGUAUUAAAAACAUAAAAACACAACAUUAAAAUUUGUUUGUAGAUAUUUGCAUUUUUGUUUUUCCCCUCAAUUAAGAAAUUCGUGCUGUAAUGCAUGUUGGAAGCCGGAGUUAUGACAUCCUGGAGAUUCCGGUUACAUGUUCAGCAAAAGUGGAUUUGCAUUUUAAAGAAAUUUUAUUAUGAAAAUCUGAGUACAAACUGAAGUUCCUCAGGGUCACAUACGGAGCCUGCCAAAAUUCAAACACAAUCACAAAUCCCUUUGCAUUUGCAUUUCCUAGGACUUAGCACAGACAACUGCUAAUCAGUGUUGGGGGCGGGACUGUACUAUGGGGUGUGAGUGUAUUUCUAAGUGACGUAACUCACUUUGAAUUUUGUCAGGCUCCAGAGGAAGUGAAAUAGCAAACGGAGUAGUUGCUUUUGUUAUUUCAGUAUGACAGGGUCGUGUAACACACAAGAAAUGCA
ensembl:lncRNA